CCUACGGGGGGCAGCAGUGGGGGAUAUUGCACAAUGGGGGGAACCCUGAUGCAGCGACGCCGCGUGGGUGAAGAAGCUUCUCGGCGCGUAAAGCCCUGUCAGCAGGGAAGAAAAUGACGGUAUCUGAAGAAGAAGCCCCGGCUAACUACGUGCCAGCAGCCGCGGUAAUACGGAGGGGGCAAGCGUUAUCCGGAUUUACUGGGUGUAAAGGGGGCGCAGACGGCGUUGCAAGCCAGGAGUGAAAGCCCGGGGCCCAACCCCAGGACUGCACUUGGAACUGCGAGGCUGGAGUGCAGGAGGGGUAGGCGGAAUUCCUGGUGUAGCGGUGAAAUGCGUAGAUAUCAGGAGGAACACCGGUGGCGAAGGCGACCUGCUGGACCGCAACUGACGUUGAGGCCCGAAAGCGUGGGGAGCAAACAGGAUUAGAUACCCUUGUAGUC
rnacentral:rRNA from 1 species